GAUGAACGCUAGCUAUAGGCUUAACACAUGCAGGUCGAGGGGAAACGGCAUUAUGUGCUUGCACAUUUUGGACGUCGACCGGCGCACGGGUGAGUAUCGCGUAUCCAACCUGCCCUUUACUUGGGGAUACCCCGUUGAAAGACGGCCUAAUACCCGAUGUAAUUCAUUGAUGGCAUCAGAUAUGAAUAAAAGAUUUAUCGGUAAAGGAUGGGGAUGCGUCUGAUUAGCUUGUUGGUGAGGUAACGGCUCACCAAGGCAACGAUCAGUAGGGGUUCUGAGAGGAAGGUCCCCCACAUUGGAACUGAGACACGGUCCAAACUCCUACGGGAGGCAGCAGUGAGGAAUAUUGGUCAAUGGGCGCAAGCCUGAACCAGCCAAGUAGCGUGCAGGAAGACGGCCCUAUGGGUUGUAAACUGCUUUUAUACGAGAAUAAUUUGAUGCACGUGUGCGUUAUUGCAUGUAUCGUAUGAAUAAGGACCGGCUAAUUCCGUGCCAGCAGCCGCGGUAAUACGGAAGGUCCAGGCGUUAUCCGGAUUUAUUGGGUUUAAAGGGAGUGUAGGGCGGUUUGUUAAGCGUGUUGUGAAAUUUAGGUGCUCAACAUUUAACUUGCAGCGCGAACUGUCAGACUUGAGUACACGCAACGUAUGCGGAAUUCAUGGUGUAGCGGUGAAAUGCUUAGAUAUCAUGAAGAACUCCGAUUGCGAAGGCAGCAUACGGGAGUGUAACUGACGCUUAAGCUCGAAGGUGCGGGUAUCGAACAGG
rnacentral:rRNA from 1 species